AGCCAAGACACUCCACGAGACUGGGAGAAAGCUCACAGUGAAAAAAUGGAGAGGAGUCGGAAUAAAUACGGAGAUGCAAGCAGGAGCAGCAAACCAAAAUUUUCUUCAGAGAGCUUUUAUUUUUGACUCGAAAUAAUUGUUUUUAUAAUAAGACAUUCGUUAGGUAUUUAGAAAUUGUAUUUUUUUGUUACUAAUAAAUGUGUAUAAUUUGGGAAA